AAAUGGCGGUCGUGCAGCCUAAUUGUGAUUUGUUUGUUGUUUGACGCUCUUCGGCCGAUGGCAUUUGAUGUGUUGGAUAUUACAAAACAGCAGCCGAACAGUACACAUCUACGCGUAACAGUUUGUAAGUGAAAUUGGAGCUCUAUUAAAGCUGAAGUUGAGCAGAGAGAGAAGGAAUGAAGGCACUUGAGUUAUGCUGCAGGCAGGUAGAGAUUCCAUGGAGUGUUUUUCCAGACUUGUGGUUGGACAAGCAGCAAGAUUUGAAUCUUCAAACAGAAACAUGAAGCACCCUGCCGUUUCCUGGAACCUCAUCAAACCAGAGUCGAGACCCCAAUCCACCAUUAACUCACCAGGAAACCCAGCACGCCUCGUCCCACUUGGCCUUGAUCCUCCGCUUUGUAAAAAUGGCUGUUUGUCAUAAAAUGCAGAUUUGGCCCAAAUAUCCUGCAGCUUCCUGGAUCAGCCUCCAUUAAGACACCCUACCUGUGGCUCUAAAACGUAUGCAAUAUAGCAAACGAUAAGAAACCAGCUCACUUUUGCUCUUAAGCUUGCUUUUGAUCUUUCUUGUACUGUAUCCAAUUA
rnacentral:lncRNA from 1 species